rnacentral:lncRNA from 1 species
AUUCUAAAUUGAGGCGCUGCCUUUGGAGCGUGGAGAAUUGUCACGAGGACAUGAGGGAAGGAAUCUCUAGAAAGGGCCAUUCGACCUCAUGACCAGGAGAUGGCGCUCUAAACACGGGAACGGGUUUUGCUUAGUUUGGAUUAAAAACAAAAACAAAAACAAAAAAACUUUUGUUUCAUACACUGCUGGGUGGAUGGUUUGGGUCCAAGCUUAUCGUGGGUCACUACAGCCAUUCUACUGACUUCUAUGGUGAUUGGUUUCCAAGGGCACAGAACACAACAGAAUAUGUAAUCAACUUGGGCAUGAGAAAGUUUCCUAGUAACAGCAGAAACAACAUAAGAGAAAAGUUUCCUUAUAAUACUAGUAACAGCACAAAACGGCAGGUGCUGACUGCUCUCAGUUUCGACCGGAAGGGGAUGAGAGAAAACCCCAAGCAUGCUGUGUGGGUGAGUGGCAAUCCUCUCUGCAGUUGACUGAAACCACAGCAGAGCCUCUGCCAGGGCUGCACAGUGGGGACCAGCCGUGACUCUGUGGUUCCCUUCUGAUGAGAGAUCUAUCCACGUUGUCCAUCGCCCACCUGUGAACGGCUCUCCACAUGGCAACAGUCACAAUCGCCAACUGUAACUGCCAACUCUGUAACCAGCGACCAUUUCAGGCGUGUAAACACGAGAGUAUCUGGUCACCUCUACUUUGAAGUAGGCCGGACUCACGGCCACCCUAUAGCCCAAGCCCCAGCCCUGCCUCGGCAUCGCUCACGCCUCCUCCACAUUCUUCUUUGCCCACACCCCAGGAGCACAAGGGGCAAAUCCAGAUGCGCCGCUUGGGAAAUUCACAGCCCAGGAACACAGCGUCCACUGUUUACUUUUUGUUGGAGUGGUUCUGAUGAGCUUGCCUCGCCCACAUACUUGAUUUUAAGAGAAGACGAGUCUUUGUACACCCACCUCCAAGGACCUGACUUCCUCUGGACCCACCCUCCUCUGGUCCAAGGGCACAACCACUCCCCUAACUGGGGCCUGUCACCGAGCCCAGAAGGAGGAUGCAGGUGGCAAUGUGAAGUUAAAACUGAAACAAUGUGUCCUCUGCACGUCUUAGCACUGACACUGAAAAGAGAAAGUUUCCGUUUGAUAUUUUUUAAUGCUUGUUCAUGUGCUGU